GUAUACAAGAUUCUUCACUCCACACCUCCUGUUCCAGUCCCACGUGAAUUCCCCAAGACUGAUCAUGCAGGACACCACUGCCUCCCUCCUGAUCACGCAGGACACCGCUGCCUCCCUCCUGAUCACGCAAGACACCGCUGCCUCCCUCCUGAUCACGCAGGACACCACUGCCUCCCUCCUGAUCACGCAGGUGUCGACACUGCUGCCUCCCUCCUGCGCAUCCUUUCAAGGUGAGGAAACUGAGGCAAAGAGAGUUUCUCCAAGGACAUAGAGGAAAAACGAUCAACAGAGAGAACACAUUUCUGAAACUGAACCCCAUGACCACACCUCAUCUUCCAAGUGGCAGUGUAUGAGGUCUGAUCAUCUAACAUAGCUGCUUCUAGAUCUAAGUCUUCUUCAAGUACUUAAUACUCUCUCAAAUGUCUAGUCUUUGAGGCAGUGAGUGUGGGUCAAGAAAAUUCUCUACAAAGACACAGAAGAUAGAGAAACAACUAACAAGUCAAAGACAAAGCCACCAAGUGACCCAAACAGGAACAGAAAUGAUGGACAAUGAAGGCCUUUCUAUAGUUCUUGGGCUCCCUGGGCACAGGAGGAAACCCUUCAUGUGUCCAUAAAACUCUGUGUAAAGUAAAGUUUUAAUUUGGUUUAAGACAUAUUCUAAUACUGGGUGACGACAUCCACUGCUUCAACAGAUGCCACUUGAGAACUGACUGUAUCAUUGUGAGAUCUGUUUUUUUUUUUUUUUUUUGAGACAGAGUCUUGCUUUUGUCACCCAGGCUGGAGUAGGGUGGCAUGAUCUUGGCUCACUGCAACCUCCUCAUGCCGGGUUCAAGUGAUUCUCCUGCCUCAGCCUCCAGAGGUCUGCUCUUUUAUUGUGUUCCUGUUUUUGUCAAAGUACCUAGAAGGGGCGGGGCUUAUUUGUCCCAUUUCAGAGGCUGGAUACAUCCAUGCUAAAGUUAAAUAAACCCCUCUUCUUAGAGUGACGGCAUUUAUGACUUUGGUGAUAUUUGACAGAAAUUUCUAUCAAUGCUGCUGCCUUCAUUAAGUUCCAAACCAUAACGUGGCACCUCCCAGGACCACUGCUGAGGUUUCAUGACACUGACUCUUUCAACUGAGGCAAAUGUUUUGAACUUGUCUAAAAAAGCCUCUUCACAUUUCUGUUUUCAGGCUAAGCUUUCACUUAACAUAAAGAGAAAAUUUCACUUGCAGAAACCUGGUUAACACAAAGGAAAUUUUGACUCCACUAAAGUCUUCCUGUAUUGAGGGAAAAAUUUUUCUUUCAUUUUUUUCUUUUGUCAAAAAAAGUUUCUUUCUUUUUUUUUUUUUUUUGCUUUGGACUUGCUGCAGCAAGUUCUGUUAGAAUACCCACCAAAGGUGGUAAUUCAAUUUAAAAAAAUAUAUAUUUUAUUUAUUUAUUUUUCUGAGACAGAGUCUCACUCUUGUCACCCA
rnacentral:lncRNA from 1 species